UCAGCGGAGCUCCCGAUCAAUCUGGGUGUGGAUCCAGACCAGCCCCUCUUUCGACCAAUCAGAGGAGGAAGUGGAAGUUUUGAAUAGCUGUCAAACUGUUUAAGACAUCACACUUUCACUGUAUGUUUCUGCUUGUACUUUUGAAACAUCUGCUUGUACUUGCAUUUCUUUUGGCUGAAUUGAAAAAACUGCUGUGGCUUGUUUUCAAUCUGGUGGUUUCUAAAAUUGUGGUGCACAGAAUAAUGCCAAUAGGUGUGGAGGAGUUUCACUGAAGAAGAUAGCACUGAGAAUGGGUACCGUACAGAGAAAUCUGGGAAACAGAAGCCAUUCCAGUGAGGAACCAGAAGGGCCUUUGCCAAGAGAUGAGACAAAUAAUUGUAUCAACUGCAGCCUUGAAGGAACUUCAACUUUCCCUACUUGUUGUCAUCUCUGAUCAGCAUUCACUUCAGAGUAAAUACAGAAAACAGUCCAAGCUCUGAGAUCUGGGAACUCCAGGUGGGAAUAACUGUUUGCUGAAUUUCAUGAGAGGCUUUUCAGGUUUCGGAAUUGGACUUCCCUUCACCAGCUUUUCAGGAAACAUGCCAAGCAUGGGUGAGAUUUCUUCAAAGAGCCGAUGAUGCAAAGAAGAGGGAAAUGUCCCAGCAUUGCUAUAGGAGGAUGCAAAACAGAGGAUCAGAAACCAUUACAGAUUACAAAGAUGACGAAAAACCCACUGCUGAGUUCUCCUACAAGCCUGCAAAAUGGAGACUCCAAACCAAUGAUAUGAGCAUAAAGUACUACCUCGUAAAGUCCAAUUGAAGAUAUACUUCAGCAGAGCCUAUCUUCCAGAGGUGCUCACAGGUGUAUCUGUGGAAGUGAUACGAGCAUAUUGAUAUAAUACAGGAUGUUGUUAUUUUCAGAACAACAACUACAAUAACAACUUUAUUCUUAUAUCCCACCCCCAUCUCCCCGAAGGGACUCAGGGCAGCUCACAUGAGGACCAAACCCAGCAAUACACAAUAAAAUACAAUCACAUAAAUACAUUUAAAACAUAUAAACAUAAAACCAUAAAACAUAUAAUGCAUUAAAACAUACUCAGGCAAUAGCUACUAGUCAGGCGCUGUGAAUAUAUUCCACUGGGGACAAGGCAAAUGUUGUCUGUGUGCAAUGUUUUAUAAGCCUCUACUGAAUGAACCAGAAGAAGAGCAGUAACUGGGUCUAGAUGGAAGUAAGGGACAGUUGUCAAUUUAUGCCAUUUUAAUCAAAGGUACAUUUAAAUAGCCAGAAGCAGUCCUGAAGCAAUGCAACAAAUUACAGAACAGAAUGGUGAGUUGCAAGCAGUUAAACAAACCACCCGAGAAGAUCUGUCACUACACAAGGCAAAUAUAUCACUAGUUGUUGCCCCAUAUCUAUAUCUAUAUCAACUAUAUAAUAAAAGUGAGAAUAUGUUUGUUUGUAUCUAUCUA